rnacentral:rRNA from 1 species
UACGGGGGGGGGCAAGCGUUGUUCGGAAUUACUGGGCGUAAAGGGCUCGUAGGCGGCCAACUAAGUCAGACGUGAAAUCCCUCGGCUUAACCGGGGAACUGCAUCUGAUACUGGAUGGCUUGAGAUUGGGAGAGGGAUGCGGAAUUCCAGGUGUAGCGGUGAAAUGCGUAGAUAUCUGGAGGAACACCGGUGGCGAAGGCGGCAUCCUGGACCAACACUGACGCUGAGGAGCGAAAGCCAGGGGAGCAAACAGG